AUUUCACAAUAAUUUGAUUCAAAUAUUUGCCUCAUGCAACUGUUUCCUGGCAACCACUUCCCUAUGGGACAGCAGAUACAACCUAGUUGACUUGCCCCCUAUUCCCACCCCCACCAUAUGGCCUGUGCAGGUAUGCCACAGUGACACCCUCUCACAGCAUACCUGCAUGGAGCACCGACCUGCUUACUUUGAACCCGCCAAUAAGAAGUUAAUAUAGAAAACCUGCUUGGGUAACACCGUGGACCCCAAUAAAGGCUUUUACACUCAGGUCACUUGCCCUUGCUCUCUCUUGCUCCCCACUGUGGUUGAAUUUGUGUGUUCCAGAUGGCUCCCCACUUUCAUUGGCUCUGUGAGGCAUGCCACCCUCUUCUCUCUUGUGAGAAUGGACUAAUAGAGUAAAUUGGGAACAGAAGUGGGGUUCUGCUAUAAAGGUACCCAAAAAUGUGGAAGUGACUUUGGAACUUGGUAACAGAGGUUGGAAUAGUUUGCAAAGCUCAGAAGAAGACAGGAAGAUGUGGGCAAGUUUGGAACUUCCUAGAGACUUGUUGAAUGGCUUUGACCAAAAUGCCAAUAGUGAUAUGAACAGUAAAGUCCAGGCUGAGGUAGUCUCAGACGGAGAUGAGGAACUUGUUGGGAAAUGGAGUGAAGGUUACUCUUACUAUGCAAAGAGACAGUUGGCAUUUUGCCCCUGCCUUAGAGAUCUGUGGAACUUUGAACUUGAGAGAGAUGAUUUAAGGUACCUGGCAGAAGAAAUUUCUAAGUGGGAAAGAAUUCAAGAGGAAGCAGAACAUAAAAGUUUGAAAAAUUUGCAACCUGAUGAUGCAGUAGAAAAGAAAAGCCCAU
rnacentral:lncRNA from 10 species